UCGCAAGACGUCAGUGGCAGACGGGUGAGUAACGCGUGGGAACAUACCCUCCGGUUCGGAAUAACUCAGGGAAACUUGAGCUAAUACCGGAUACGGCUUAGCGGCGAAAGAUUGAUCGCCGGAGGAUUGGCCCGCGUCCGAUUAGCUUGUUGGCGGGGUAACGGCCCACCAAGGCGACGAUCGGUAGCUGGUCUGAGAGGAUGAUCAGCCACAUUGGGACUGAGACACGGCCCAAACUCCUACGGGAGGCAGCAGUGGGGAAUAUUGGACAAUGGGCGCAAGCCUGAUCCAGCCAUGCCGCGUGAGUGAUGACGGCCUUAGGG
rnacentral:rRNA from 1 species